rnacentral:tRNA from 1 species
GCCUGGCUGGCUCAGUUGGUAGAACAUGUGACUCUUGAUCUCAAGGUUGUGAGUUUGAGACCCACAUUGGGCA